rnacentral:rRNA from 1 species
GACGUAGGGUGCAAGCGUUGUCCGGAUUUAUUGGGCGUAAAGAGCUCGUAGGCGGCUUUGUAAGUUAGAGGUGAAAGCCCAGGGCUCAACCCUGGAAUUGCCUUUAAGACUGCAUCGCUUGAACAUCGGAGAGGUAAGUGGAAUUCCGAGUGUAGAGGUGAAAUUCGUAGAUAUUCGGAAGAACACCAGUGGCGAAGGCGACUUACUGGACGAUUGUUGACGCUGAGGUGCGAAAGCGUGGGGAGCAAACAGG